AAAUCUUUUUCAAAAAUUCAAAAGCAAUACGCCGUAGAUUGAACCUUCAUUUUUUAAAUUGAGACAUCGUUCAUCAAAAUCGGUUAAGAAUUACGCCUGUUCUCAUUGAUGACGUAAAUGCUGUUUUUGACAUUUUUCGCGAAGAAAAAGUUUAUUACUGUGGCGCCCCUCAAAAUUUGCGGCAAAAAGAAUGAAGCUCGUAUUCCUACUACUGCUUUUCAUAUCAAGCUUGAAUGACAUAUGUUUAUGUAGCGAUUGCCUGCUUGGCUGUGUGUAUAAAUAGCAGAGCUCAGAUUUUUUAAACAUUUCUAAACGCAAAGAAAUGGGUUUCACGAUGCUUGCACGGAGAAGCUACGUAUUUUCUAUGCAUUUAUCGUAAAAUAAAUGCGUACCGACAUCAUAUCGGAUCACUGCGAGAUCCACGUCGCUACCAUCAAAGAAAGAUAUACAUAUGAAAGACUGAAAGGUGUGAGUUCAUAAUAUACUGAACUAAUUACUCUACCCAACGAAACCACUCGUUAUGUCGCGUGAGAAGGGAAUAACCACAAGCUUAUACACCGAUAUGAUAGACGCAUGGUGGGGACAGCUUUCUCUUCUUAUAUUCAUAGUUUAUAUUUUGUUCAUACCUGUCGCUAAAGUCACACAUACUUUGAAUAAAAGGUAGUGAACAGUCUUAAAUAAUACCUAAAUGUGUAUAAAUAAUAUUUACGUACAUUUUUAUUAUUAUUAUUAUUAUAUUAUAUUAUAUUAUAUCAUAUUAUAUUAUUAUUAUUAUUAUAAUUAGUAGUAGUAAUAGUGGUAGUAACGGGUUAAUUAGUAUCGUAUUAGUAAUAUAUUAUAAGAUGCCUUCAUUAAAGUCAAAUGCCCAGUUUCAAUGAAGAAUAUGACACCAAUGGAAGGAAUUGAACGUAAAAAAAUUAUAUUCAUGUAUCUUUAAAAUGGAGUGCUGAAAUUAAAAGACUCUGACAAGUAUAUGUACCAAAUCUUGGUCUAAGCAGGUCUUUUUUACAUGCCACUCAAAUGUAUGAAUAACACAAUAGUGUUAUUUUAUUCUUUGUACUCCAAAAAAAUGAUUGUUGAUAAAAAAGAAAAAAAUGAUCGCCUUCGGUCAAAUAAAAUGGAAGAGAAGA